CAUCAUGUUUUAAAUUCAAAUGAAAUUUGAAUUGAGGGAUUUUCAAAGCCUCAGAAACCUUCUAAAAAUGAUCCACAUUAAAAUCUUCUCAAAGAAGUCCAAGAAAAUGUUCCUCUUAGUCUCUGAAAAUAUUGCAAAGAGGUAAAACUCAAAACAAUAUUUUUGGUAUCUCAGAGUUAAUCAUUUUGGGCCUUUGAAUUAAAUAAAUAACUAUUUGCAUUGGAUAUAUAUUUCUUAAUUAAUUAAUAUAUGUCCAAUAAUUUUGAUCUUUGAUGAAGGGCUUUGGAAUAAUCCUACUAGUCCCUACCAUAAUUAUCAGAAGCAAUAAAAAUGAUUUAGUGUCUAAAACUAAAUCAAAACAAACUACAGAAAAUAGAAAACAGAAUUAAAUAGAAAUAAGAGAGAGAGAGAGAAGGAACUUACCUGACGCUUACCUGAGGCCCACCCACCUGGCGGCCCAACACUGUUGGCCCAGCCCAUCUCUCCUCCCCUGUCGUCUUCCUCCCUCGCCAGAAGGACAGAGGCGAGGCGUGGCGAGCGCCGACGCCGCCCCGGCCACCUCCUACUUGCCGCUUCGCCCUGGCCUCUUCGGGUGAAGCCACGCAGCCCCCUCGCUCCUCUCUCUCACUCUCUCCCGACCCCUUCUCCCUUCUCUGCUCUCCCCCUCUCGCGACCGAGCGCGCUCGUCGCCGCCGUCCACCGCCACCACGGCCACCGGGCCUCCCUCGCUUCCCCGACCAGCCCACCAGCUCCGCCACUCCGUCCUCGACCCACCUCACCGAGCCACGCCCCUCCAGAAGCCCCCGAACGACCUCAUCGGGCUCGUCUUCUACCUCGGACCCGCCGGCCAUCACCGUCAAAUUCGUCGGCUCCGGACCGUCCCCGACCUCGCCGAGCGUUCCAUCAUCAUCGCCGUGAGCUCCUGCUCCUGCUCCCCCUCUCCGCUCCCUCUCUCGCACGCUGUAGCUGCCGCACCACAUCCAACCGCACGCGCCGCCGCCCGCACUCGUCGCCGGUGAUGCUCCGGUGACCAUUUGGUCCCGGGCAUGCGCCCAACGCGCUCCUCGCAUCGCGUAGAGCCUCCGAGGCACCUCGCCGCGCUCGUUUGCGCACCGCAGCCCCAUCCCCAGUUGCACCCGAGCUUCGGCCGCCGCCGAGCUCGUCGCCGGCGCCGAUUCCGGCCGCCCCGACCCCAACCGACUCCACCAGAAGUUGCGGCAUGUUCCCAGCUACCCAUAGCCACCCUCCGCGGCUCGUUUGGUUGCCGAAACGGCCAAAACCACUCUCGCCGCCGCGUCGGGCUCGCCGUCGGCUAAACGCCGGCGACCGUUGACCCUUGACCGGCGUGGGUUGACCCCACUGCCCGGUUUGACUCUCCCCUCUCUCCCACUGACAUGCGGGCCCCGCCCGGCUAACCAAGUUAGUUAGGGUUAAUUUUAAUUAGGUUAGUUAGUCCAGACACUGACACGCAGGGCCCACAGGUCAGUUUGACCUGGACGGCGCCCGUUGACCUGCUGAGGUCAGCAUGAGGUCAUGCUGACGCAAUAAUUCCUUUCUGGAAUUAAAAUAAAUUAGGAAAUGAUUUAUAAAUUCUAGAAAAUUGUAUAAACUUCUAAAAUUCAUAGAAAUUCAACCGUAACUCCAAAUUAAAUAAAUUAUAUAUGAAAAAUUAUCAGAAAAAUUCAAGGAAUCCAUCUAAACCAUUUUCAUGCAUGUUCGAACAAUGUUUGUCCUCUGUUUUGGACAAAACAAAUAAAUGGCAUUUAAACUCUCACAUAUGGAGUUUGAAUUUGAAUCUUGUAUUCAAACCAACUUCAUUUAAAUCAUAGCUAAGUGCAUUAGCCCAAAACACAUUCAUAUUGCCAUGUCAUGAGCAUGCAUCAUAUUGUGCAUUGCAUUGAUUGUAUUUCUUCUUUGUUGCCGGUAUCUGUUCCCUCCCGGUAGACGAUGUUCCGACGUUGUGAUCGUUGACACUGAUGAAGACUCAAUGUUAUCUUCAGAAGUGCCAGGCAAGCAAAACCCCCUUGUUCAUUCUGAUACAAUCCCACUCUCUCGCUCCUGCUCUCUUUUACUGCAUUAGGACAACAACGAUUCAACUGUUACUUGCUGCGGUAGCUGAACCCCUUUAUCCUCUGCAUGACCUGUCAUUGCCACAGUAAAUAGAUGAAACCCACUAGUAUGAGUAGGAGUUGUCUGAGCCCUGUUGUGCCUACUCAUUCAUGUUUGUUUGUCAUGCCUGCUACUGCUUAGAGUUGAGUCAGGUCUGAUUCAUCGGGGAUGAAUCAGAGGUGUGUGAACAUGUCCUACUGUGUGUGAGCUAAGUGUGUGAACACGUUUUGGUAAAGGUAGCGGUGAGAGGCCAUGUAGGAGUACAUGGUGGGUUGUCUCAUUGCAGCCGUCCUCAAGAACUGAGUUCUGUGUUUGUGAUCCAUGAUUCAGCUACUACCAUACAUUGGGCCCUGAAAUAUGACCCCGCUCGACUUCUUAUUCACCCUAGUCCUCUGUCCAGGAGUUGCAAGUAGUUUCUGGUGUUUGUAGCUUACUGGAGGCCGUGGACAGCGCUGACCGUAGGGGUGGGCUGUGAUGCGGUAGGUACGUGGCACGGUGUACCGGAUGCCCGUUUGGUGUCUCGGGAACCCUGUUCACAUCGUUUGGGGCUGUGAGCGAAACUCCGGCCGGAUCUCCUCAUGGAUGGAACCCGAAUAGGCGAUAAACCUGGACUAGAGACUUGAGUGUUUAGGUAGGUCGUGGUCUACACCCACGUCGGCUUUCGCUUGAAGUCUGCCGAGCACAUGUCGUGUGCAGACGCUAAGUGGUGGAAACAUGUAUGAAGAAGUACACCCCUGCAGGGUUAAUAUCAUCUAUUCGAAUAGUCGUGUCCGCGGAAAAGGACUUCUGGGUUGCCUAUAUCAGUUCAUAGACAAGUGAAAGUGGAUACUCUAAAAUACGCAAGAUAAGCGUGAGUGCUAUGGAUGGCGUUCUCGUAGGGAGACGGGAGCGGAUCCAUAGUGGUGUAUUGAUAUGGUGAAUAUGUGGACUCGUGUGCGCCACCUCAAAAGAGUCACUUGCAGUCGUAGUUUAGGAUAGCCACCGAGUCAAAGCUGGCUUGCUGCAGUUAAACCCCACCAUCCCCUUUGUUGAUAAUGAUGCAUAUGUAGUUAGUUCUGAUGUAAGUCUUGCUGGGUACAUUUGUACUCACGUUUGCCUAUUUUAUGUUUUUGCAGAGAGACUUCAGUCUCACUAGUAAUUCCGCGUGGACUUCGACGUUUAGCUUGUUACCUCAGCUACGAUCUUGUGCCUCGGCAGGAUCUGGUAGACAGUCAGGCUUUCAAGUCUUUUUCAUUUAUAGAUGUCUGUACUCAGACAUGAUAGCUUCCGCUUGUGCUUUGAUUUGUAUGCUCUGAAUGUUGGGUCGUGAGACCCCUGUUUGUAAUAUCUCGCUCCUCGGAGCCUAUUGAAUACUUACUUGUGUCGUAGAGUCAUGUUGUGAUGCCAUGUUGUAUUUGCACAUAUCGAGCAUAUUGUGUGUAUGUUAUUGAAAUGCUUGGUAUGUGUGGGAUCUGGCUAUCUAGUUGUUUAUCCUUAGUAGCCUCUCUUACCGGGAAAUGUCUCCUAGUGUUUCCACUGAGCCAUGGUAGCUUGCUACUGCUCCGGAACACUUAGGCUGACCGGCAUGUGUCCUUCUUCGUUCCUGUGUCUGUCCCUUCGGGGAAAUGUCACGCGAUGAAUACCGGAGGCCUGUUAGCCCGCUACAGCCCGGUUCACCGGAGUCCUGCUAGCCCAGUGCUACAGCCUGGAUUCACUCGCUGAUGACCGACACGUUCGAUGCUGGGUCAUGGAUGCCUGUCCCUGUAAGUUAGUGCCACUUUGGGUUUACGGCUAGCCAUGUCAGCCCGGGCUCCUUAUCAUAUGGAUGCUAGCAACACUGUCAUAUACGUGUGCCAAAAGGCGCAAACGGUCCCGGGCAAAGGUAAGGCGACACCCGUGGGAAUACCGUGCGUGAGGCCGCAAAGUGAUAUGAGGUGUUACAUGCUAGAUCGAUGUGGCAUUGAGUCGGGGUCCUGACAGCGUUGGUAUUAGAGCUUGACUGCCUGUAGGAUUACCAAGCCAAACUGGUCGAAGUUGAGUCUAGAAAUUCUUUAGUUAUAUAAGGGAAUUGAUUGUGGAAUGGAACGUAAGGCUCUUUUUACUCCUUAUACUUUAUGCCCUUCUGAUCUGAGUCAUCUUAUCUUUCCUACGGGGAUUAAGAACUAGGCUAUCUCUUCUUUCCAUCAGGAUCACGUGUUUCUAAUCUGUAGACUUGUAAGAUUGUUGGACUUAAGCCUCGUUUCAGUUCCUAUUACUUCUGUAUGUUAACUGUUGAUCUCGAAACCUUGAUAUUGUGCUUCUGAGUGGUUAUGCCACCAUUUUUGUGAAUGUCUCAAAUCUUUUCUGAGCAUUUACAGCCGUUAUGCUGUCCGAGUCAUCCCAGGUUUCCAAAGAGUCUGAUGCAUUUGCAAAAUCCUUUUCCUCUGGUUUCAAUGUCUUUUAGGCCAGGUUAAUCACACAAAUUGUUGAGUUGAGGUACUCUACUGCCUCGACCUUUAUGUUGGAGUUAUUAUUAUGACCCUAGGUGUCUCAGGGGAUCAUCUAGUAGUCUAGCCAUGUUUUGUGUCCCAGUGUGAUGAUUCUGGCUUUUAUUCUCGAAAGCAUCCCAUGAUGCCACUUAGUAGUAGGUAUUCUACCCCUUGGGUUUUGAACCCAAGAUUCACCCUACUUACUUCAUGUUGAUAGUAAUUGCUAGCUCCCUUAGGUUAUUAGUAACCUUUGCGAUAGUCCUUGAAGUCCGUGGUAUCUUCUUCUUCCAAAUACCAUGAACUACUUAUGGCAGAAGUUCCUCGUUGAACUGAACGAUCACAACCAGAGUGCUCUUGAUGAGUUCUCCAUGCUAUGUUGUGACUCUGCCAGCUCAACCUUUCUGCAUGGGUUAUCCGGAAGAAUUAUGUUGAACUUGGUUCGACAUACUAAUCUAUGCAUCCACAACUCAGGAAGUUAUAUGUUCCUUUGAGUUAUCCCUUUUUAGUUGUCUACUGACCUUCGUCUAUCAAUUGAUAGUCAAGAGUAUGCGUGCGUUCGUUUAUCGAUGCCUAUUACUCUUGUGGUCCGUCAAGCCAUUCUAUCGCGGAAUGUCUAGGAGAAACAAACUCCAGUACCUCUUCCAUAUCCAGGAUUGGGUCAAAGAAGUUGUGCUUCGCAGAUCAAAUUGCUAAUCCAGCUUUUGUUCUGCUCUACCUUGGAGUAUUACCAUCUUUAUAUCGGGAAUGUUAUAGGAAUUGCACACCACCCUAUGAACUCUUGGUACAGUGAUACUUCUUGCCAUCAUUGUUCAUUCCUCGGUUCCUGUGUUAUUGUAACCGGAAUGUCGACAAGUGAAUCGUGAUGUGUGAAAUCAAUACUCCUAGCAACCUUGUUGCUUGGUAGUUAAAGGACAAUAAUUUCAUUAUUAGCUUGUUGGUUCUUGAAUCAUCAUUCUAAGACUGUUCGUGCUACCUAGUCCUUAUUUCCGGUGCACUCUUCGAUCAAUGAGUUAGGAUUAUUCAAAUCCUUGCUUAUUUGAUCAUAUCGUCUUGCCCUGGAAAGCAAGAUUGUUCUCGAGCUUAGUAACAUACCGGUGGUUCGUGAUUUUCUGAAGAUCUUCUCGGAAGUAUUACCAGGUUGUCACCUGACCGCUGUGUUGAGCUCGUGAUCAAGUUGGUUUCUUAUGAACCACCUUCUCUCCAAGAAUCGGUGUUAGAUAUCCCUGAGCUAGUUGGUUAAGCUAGACAACAACUUGGAGAGUUGGAAGAUAAAAGCUUGUCUGACUUAGUCCGUUCCAAAGGGAUAUUCUUGUGUAGUGUGUGUUGAAGAAAGAUGAUAUCUUAGUCGAUUGGUCCCUGUGAUCAGUUGCUGGACCUAUUGUCUUAUCAAUCCUUUGAUUUGAGUGUGGGCUAUCGUCAAAUCAAAUCAGUACCAACGAUGCUCGUAAUGUUGUCUUACUCGUGGUUGAUCCCUCGAGCAUACACCAUUACAUCUUUGGUCUGACCAAUGCUAUCAUCGUGUUCGCAUGAUGGUGGAAGUCCAAUGAUAUGGAAAUUCCGAUGAGUUGUUGUUGAGCCCAUCAGUAGCAUUUUGUCUCCUCCAUGAUCUUGUUGGACAACAAGUUAGUGUUGGAAACUUUUGAAAGCAUUUUCUUCAUGCUAGCUCAUGAAGUAUUUGUUUGAUGAAAGGAGUGACUUCCUCUUAUACACGUGCAUCUGGUGAAAGUUGCUGCCGUGAAUUUGAGAAAGUUAGUUUUGCUUCCUCUGGAAUCAUCCCAAGUCAGUCAUGCAUACGUGCGAAGUAUUCUGUGGUCUGGAGACUUGCAACCUCCAUUCUAUAUGUGUCCCUAGCACACCAAGCCACUGAUUGAUUUGUUCAAGGAGAAGAAGUUCCUUCUUAAGAGUAUACCUUAUGCAAGGACUUCGAUAUCCUCGAUGAUGGAUCCCCUCCUGAACUCGGUAGUGUUUUAUUAUAAGACUACUUUGUGGUCAUGCUUGUCUUGGACAACAUGUUCACAUGUUGUAGCAGAACCAGCUCAUGUUUUGGAGCUUGCUAUCGUAAUUCAUUUCCCGAGAAUCUUGCAACGUCAUCUCGUCGAUUUGUGUUGCAAACUUUCGUUUUUCUUCCUAGACUCGAUGAGUCUGGAAUAUCCUGACACCAACCAGAUCUGAAUCUCAGGCAGAAAUGAUGGGUUGGAACAUUUCCCAAGAACUAUAAUAUUGGUCUCGCGAUAACCGGUAAAGUGGAUGUCGUGGCCAACACACCCCGCCGGAAGACCUGUUAUUAUAAUAUCUUGAUUGAGGAAGUUGGCCACCUCCCCAUAAGGAUCUCAUAGAACUUAUUCUAGUAGUUGUUCCUUAUGGAUUUCUGUGUUCCGAAGUCCGACCUUUUUACUUGAUGUUUUAGAUAUCAAACCAUAUCUAUGAAUGGGUUACACUAGCACAUCAAGGAGAACAUUAGAAGCCGAGUGCUAAAUGUCUCUCGGUCGAUCAUGCAGAUUUUGGUUCCUUGGCCUCGCUAAGGUGAAAUCUGAGAAAGUGUUAUCUUCCUUUGCAUCUGCAUCAUCCAUCAUCUUUCAUCAUGGUAGCAAGUUGUGUUGCCAGGAUCCUUGACACGGAUAUUGGUAAAACCUUGAUGAUUAUGGAAAUGCUCAAGUUCUUGAGAGCACGUAUAAGCUCUAGGUGUUAUCAGCGACACUAACUGGGAUUGCCCCAGAUUUCCUCGGUUACGCUAUAACUUCUCAAACAAUGGAUCCACUCUCUAUUGUUGGGUUCUUCCCCAGUUACCAGAAUCAUUCCCAGCAUUUGCAUUUUGUUCCCAGUUUGCACCGCCAAUGUGCCAUUCUACCAUGGGUCUCUUCCAUUUCCGGUGGUAAGCAAAUUCAUCCAUUACGUUGUCUUCAACAAGGUAAUCCACAUCAUCCAAGUCCGAGUAUACCAUUCUACCGACCCCCUCCAAACGAUCGGUCGAGAAUUGCCUUAGGUUGGUUUAAAGAGUUUCAAUGAUCUUUGAAUCAAAGGUAAUUCUUUUUGCCACUUAAGGGGAUAUAUCUACGAGUCACGGUUCCUAAGGUGUCUCGUUGUGGUAUCAUGGCAACUCAACUCCUCGCUACGUUGACAACCGUUCACCACCCUCUUAGGUGUGGAAUUGUUGCCUACCUGGUAAACCUUCGUCAUCCGUUUCACUCCAUCCCUCUAGAUGUGUGCUUCGUCUCUCAGCUCAAGAGAGGUUGCUAUGUCUUAUUCCGUGAGUUAAUCCUGAGUUGUUCGAUCUUCGAGAAGAUCGACCCUUCUAGAGUUUCCUUCUCCUCUCGUUGUCAUGUUGGUUGGAGUUUCCAGAGCAAGACGUCGAGACAAUGAUGGUGAUCAAAUCAACACUCUUAUGGAAUGCACCCUGGAUCAUGAAGAUUAUGUUAGUUGGCGUUUUCCUUUCGUCUUACCCUACGCUUAAAUCUCGGGACGAGAUUUUUGUUUAGUGGGGGUGAGUUGUCACAUCCCUGGUCCUGUUAUGCACUAGGCUAGACCUUCAUGUGAGCAUCAUGUUUUAAAUUCAAAUGAAAUUUGAAUUGAGGGAUUUUCAAAGCCUCAGAAACCUUCUAAAAAUGAUCCACAUUAAAAUCUUCUCAAAGAAGUCCAAGAAAAUGUUCCUCUUAGUCCCUGAAAAUAUUGCAAAGAGGUAAAACUCAAAACAAUAUUUUUGGUAUCUCAGAGUUAAUCAUUUUGGGCCUUUGAAUUAAAUAAAUAACUAUUUGCAUUGGAUAUAUAUUU
rnacentral:lncRNA from 1 species